UACGACUACAUAUCAGGCAUAUCAAUAAGCGGAGGAAAAGAAACUAACUAAGGAUUCCCUCAGUAACGGCGAGUGAAGCGGGAAGAGCUCAAAUUUGAAAUCCUCAAGGUUUACCUUGACGAAUUGUAGUUUAGAGAAGUGUUUUCGGUUAGAGGAGUUUAGUAAAAGUUCUUUGGAAUAGGACAUCAUAGAGGGUGAGAAUACCCGUAUUUGACUAUUAUUUCUAGCUUUGUGAUACACUUUCAAAGAGUCGGAUUGUUUGGGAAUGCAGUCCAAAAUGGGUGGUAAAUUUCAUCUAAAGCUAAAUAUUGGCGAGAGACCGAUAGCGAACAAGUACCGUGAGGGAAAGAUGAAAAGAACUUUGAAAAGAGAGUUAAACAGUACGUGAAAUUGUCAAAAGGGAAGCGUUUGACACCAGUGCUGUUUCUACGAAAAUCAAUUUAUGAUGGCUUGAUGCUAAGCUUUAAGACUUUAUCCGCUUGUUGUUUAGUUUUCCUGUCUUUGUGAAUGCACUUUUCGUGGAACAAGUCAACAUCAAUUUCUUUUGCUGUAAAAGGGUAAGAGGAAGGUGGCUUCGGCUUCGGUUGGAGUGUUUAUAGCCUUUUAUCUCUGCAGUCGGAGAGAUUGAGGUCUGCAGCGUAGACUCUUCGGGGUUAGAUACGUCGGUGCUAAGCUAUAGCUUUUCAUAGACAACUUGUUGACUAUGUUUAGUCAUGUGGCUUACCCGCUGGCGCUAUUUUACCUACGCUUAGGAUGUUGACACACGCGCGUGCUCG
rnacentral:rRNA from 1 species